rnacentral:rRNA from 1 species
AGUGAACGCUGGCGGUAGGCCUAACACAUGCAAGUCGAACGGCAGCACAGUAAGAGCUUGCUCUUACGGGUGGCGAGUGGCGGACGGGUGAGGAAUACAUCGGAAUCUACUUUUUCGUGGGGGAUAACGUAGGGAAACUUACGCUAAUACCGCAUACGACCUACGGGUGAAAGCAGGGGAUCUUCGGACCUUGCGCGAUUGAAUGAGCCGAUGUCGGAUUAGCUAGUUGGCGGGGUAAAGGCCCACCAAGGCAACGAUCCGUAGCUGGUCUGAGAGGAUGAUCGGCCACACUGGAACUGAGACACGGUCCAGACUCCUACGGGAGGCAGCAGUGGGGAAUAUUGGACAAUGGGCGCAAGCCUGAUCCAGCCAUACCGCGUGGGUGAAGAAGGCCUUCGGAUUGUAAAGCCCUUUUGUUGGGAAAGAACAUCAGCAGGUUAAUACCCCGCCGUUCUGACGGUACCCAAAGAAUAAGCACCGGCUAACUUCGUG